CAGCUCAUUUGAGCAAAAAGCACUUCCUGUCAGAGGAGGCCUGGUCCUUGCUUUCCAAUCUGAAACAUUCCAGGAGACCACCGACAGCCCAGUCCUCACUGCUGACAGGCAGAGAGUGAGAAGCCAGGGAAGGAAAGAAGGCUCUGGACACUGCACAGCGUGAACCGUCCACGCCCUUGGAAGUGGCCCAGAAAGAACUGGCCACUCUCACAGUGCACACAGCAGCCAGCCACUGCUCUAGGCUCUGUGAACAGCCCAUACACCAACCCUUGGUGCCGGCAGGAGAGAUGGAGGCUAGGAGGCUGAGCCACCGCUCCAGGUCACUCAGCAGCAAAAGGGCCAGUACCCAGCCUGGAAAAGUA